rnacentral:ncRNA from 1 species
UACGGGAACACACGAUCGCAAAUCUGACGCGUCGCGCGGGUGACACUCACCUCAGGCCUCUUUCGCCGUGCGCGACUUGGGAUUGCGGACGUGU